CGCGGCCUAUCAGCUUGUUGGUGAGGUAACGGCUCACCAAGGCAUCGACGGGUAGCAGGUCUGAGAGGAUGAUCAGCCACACUGGGACUGAGACACGGCCCAGACUCCUACGGGAGGCAGCAGUGGGGAAUAUUGCACAAUGGGCGCAAGCCUGAUGCAGCAACGCCGCGUGCGGGAUGAAGGCCCUAGGGUUGUAAACCGCUUUCAGCAGGGAAGAAAAUGACGGUACCUGCAGAAGAAGGUGCGGCCAACUACGUGCCAGCAGCCGCGGUGACACGUAGGCACCAAGCGUUGUCCGGAUUUAUUGGGCGUAAAGAGCUCGUAGGCGGUUCAGUUAGUCGGGUGUGAAAACUCUGGGCUCAACCCAGAGACGCCACCCGAUACUGCUGUGACUAGAGUACGGUAGGGGAGUGGGGAAUUCCUGGUGUAGCGGUGAGAUGCGCAGAUAUCAGGAGGAACACCAGUGGCGAAGGCGCCACUCUGGGCCGUAACUGACGCUGAGGAGCGAAAGCAUGGGUAGCAAACAGGAUUAGAUACCCUGGUAGUCCAUGCCGUAAACGUUGGGCACUAGGUGUGGGUCUCAACCAACGAGAUCCGCGCCGUCGCUAACGCAUUAAGUGCCCCGCCUGGGGAGUACGG
rnacentral:rRNA from 1 species